rnacentral:rRNA from 1 species
CAGUCGAACGGCCCCGGGUGCUUGCCCUGGUGGCGAGUGGCGAGGGGUGAAUAAUGCAUCUGANCGUACCGUGUAAUGGGGGAUAACGUGGCAAAAGUCAAUCUAUACCGCAACACCCUGAGGGGGAAAGGGGGGGCUCGCAAGACCUCCCGUUAUACGAUCGGCCGAUGUCUGAUUAGCUUGUUGGUGGGGUAACGGCCCACCAAGGCNACGAUCAAUAGCGGUUCUGAGAGGAUGAUCCCCCACACUGGGACUGAGACACGGACCAUACUCCUACGGGAGGCAGCACUGANGAAUUUUGGACAAUGGGNGAAACCCUGAUCCAGCCAUGCCGCGUGAGUGAAGAAGGCCUUCAGGUUGUAAAGCUCUUUCAUUCGGAACGAAAAAGUUCGUUCNAACAUAG